rnacentral:rRNA from 1 species
UGAGCGACCUACCUAAUUGUGGGGGAUAGCCGGCCCAACGGCCGGGUAAUACCGCAUAUGAUCGGAGAGGGGCAUCCCUUUCUGAGGAAAGCCUUCGGGCGCAAUUUGAGGGGCUCGCGGCCUAUCAGCUAGUUGGCGGGGUAACGCCCACCAAGGCGACGACGGGUAGCUGGUCUGAGAGGAUGGCCAGCCACAUUGGGACUGAGAUACGGCCCAGACUCCGUACGGGAGC